AGCGGACUGAGAGAGCUUGCUCUCAAAGUUAGCGGCGAACGGUCGCGUAACACGUAAGCAACCUGCCCCGAAGACCGGGACAACAUUCCGAAAGGAGUGCUAAUACCGGAUGUGGCCAUUGAGAGACAUCUCUUGAUGAUUAAAUCAAGCAAUUGGCUUCGGGAGGGGCUUGCGGCCUAUCAGCUAGUUGGUGGGGUAACGGCCUACCAAGGCGACGACGGGUAGCGGGUCUGAGAGGACGAUCCGCCGGACUGGGACUGAGAUACGGCCCAGACUCCUACGGGGGGCAGCAAUUAGGAAUCUUGCGCAAUGGGCGAAAGCCUGACGCAGCGACGCCGCGUGAGGGAGGAAGUCCUUCGGGAUGUAAACCUCUUUUCUCCGGGAAGAAACAAAUGACGGU
rnacentral:rRNA from 1 species